rnacentral:misc_RNA from 1 species
GAGAGUCUUACAACUCCCUACCCAUGUGAACUUACCUCGCGUUGCCUCGGUGGAGGGGCCUACCCGUUAAGGGGUACCCGUGUCGAGAGACCCGGGCGUCCCGGGUGACUCCGCCGCCGAAGGUCCACCGAAACUCUGUUUUAUUUUGGAACUCUGAAUAUAAAAGCAAAUAAGUUA